GCACUUGUAAUACGAACGUGCGAACUCGUAUUUCACGUACAUCAACUGCGUCGGACAGACACUUUGUUAAAGCGGCAUCAUUGGCUGCUGGCUCCGUUCUGAAUAUGUACAUCCAAACAUCAACGAGCAGUGCGUAGUUUUUAACUAUGGUAAUUAGAUAAAUGGUCCGGCCGGUCAUAAUAGUAGCGGAAUGUUAUACUUGCCCAUUUCACGCAAAUCAGAAUGAACGAGGAUGAAAGUAAAUCGCAAUUUUGUCAAAAUUCAACAAUAAUAUUAUAGGUAACCAAAAAAGGGUAAUUUAGUAAUUAAAAUUACCUACUUUUAAGGUUA